UACGAAGGGGGCUAGCGUUGUUCGGAAUUACUGGGCGUAAAGCGCACGUAGGCGGAUUUUUAAGUCAGGUGUGAAAUCCCGGGGCUCAACCUCGGAACUGCAUUUGAAACUGGAAGUCUUGAGACCAGGAGAGGUUAGCGGAAUACCGAGUGUAGAGGUGAAAUUCGUAGAUAUUCGGUGGAACACCAGUGGCGAAGGCGGCUAACUGGACUGGUACUGACGCUGAGGUGCGAAAGUGUGGGGAGCAAGCAGG
rnacentral:rRNA from 1 species